rnacentral:rRNA from 1 species
AUUGAACGCUGGCGGCAGGCCUAACACAUGCAAGUCGAACGGUAACAGGAAGCAGCUUGCUGCUUCGCUGACGAGUGGCGGACGGGUGAGUAAUGUCUGGGAAGCUGCCUGAUGGAGGGGGAUAACUACUGGAAACGGUAGCUAAUACCGCAUAAUGUCGCAAGACCAAAGAGGGGGACCUUCGGGCCUCUUGCCAUCGGAUGUGCCCAGAUGGGAUUAGCUUGUUGGUGGGGUAACGGCUCACCAAGGCGACGAUCCCUAGCUGGUCUGAGAGGAUGACCAGCCACACUGGGACUGAGACCCGGUCCAGACUCCUACGGGAGGCAGCAGUGGGGAAUAUUGCACAAGGGGCGCAAGCCUGAUGCAGCCAUGCCGCGUGUAUGAAGAAGGCCUUCGGGUUGUAAAGUACUUUCAGCGGGGAGGAAGGGAGUAAAGUUAAUACCUUUGCUCAUUGACGUUCCCCGCAGAAGAAGCACCGGCUACCUCCG